rnacentral:rRNA from 1 species
AUUGAACGCUGGCGGCAUGCUCUACACAUGCAAGUCGAACGGUAACAGGCCGCAAGGUGCUGACGAGUGGCGAACGGGUGAGUAAUGCAUCGGAACGUGCCCAGUCGUGGGGGAUAACUACUCGAAAGAGUAGCUAAUACCGCAUACGAUCUAUGGAUGAAAGCGGGGGACCGUAAGGCCUCGCGCGGUUGGAGCGGCCGAUGUUAGAUUAGGUAGUUGGUGGGGUAAAGGCUCACCAAGCCAACGAUCUGUAGCUGGUCUGAGAGGACGACCAGCCACACUGGGACUGAGACACGGCCCAGACUCCUACGGGAGGCAGCAGUGGGGAAUUUUGGACAAUGGGCGCAAGCCUGAUCCAGCAAUGCCGCGUGCAGGAAGAAGGCCUUCGGGUUGUAAACUGCUUUUGUACGGAACGAAACGGCUCUGGUUAAUACCCGGGGCUAAUGACGGUACCGGAAGAAUAAGCACCGGCUAACUACGUG